rnacentral:lncRNA from 1 species
GAUUUUAUAAGAAGAUGUUUCCUUUUCUACCAUAGGCCUCAAAGCGCUAGAAAUCUCCAGCUGCAAAUUCCACAAAAAGUGUGUUUAACAUCCGCUCUGUCUAAAGUAAAGUUCAGCUCUGUGAGUUGAAUACACACAGCACAAAGAAGUUACUGAGACUUCUUCUGUCUAACAUUAUAUGAAGAAAUCCCUUUUCCAACGAAGGCCUCAAAGAGGUCCAAAUAUCCACUUGCAGACGUGACAAACAGAGUGUUUCCAAACUACUGCAUCAAAAGAAAGGUUAAACUCUGUGAGUUGAACACACACAUCACAAAGUAGUUUCUGUGAAUGAUUCUGUCUAGUUUUUAUACGAAGAUGUUUCCUUUUCUACCUUUGGUCUCAAAGCGAUUGAAAUCUCCACAUGGAAACUCCACAAAAAGAGUGUUUCAAAUCUGCUCUUUCUGAAGGAAGGUUCAACUCUGUGAGUUGAAUACACACACCACAAAUAAGUUACUGAGAAUUCUUCUGUGUAACAUUAUAUGAGGAAAUCCCGUUUCCAACGAAGGCCUCAAAGAGGUCCAAAUAUCUGCUUGCAGACUUUACAGACAGAGUGUUUCCAAACUGCUCCAUCAAAAGAAAGGUUAAACUCUGUGAGCUGAACACUCACAUCAAAAAGUAGUUUCUGUGUAUGAUUCUGUCUAGUUUUUAUACGAAGAUGUUUCCUUUUCUACCUUUGGUCUCAAAGCGAUUGAAAUCUCCACAUGGAAACUCCACAAAAAGAGUGUUUCAAAUCUGCUCUUUCAGAAGGAAGGUUCAACUCUGUGAGUUGAAUACACACACCACAAAUAAGUUACUGAGAAUUCUUCUGUGUAACAUUAUAUGAGGAAAUCCCGUUUCCAACGAAGGCCUCAAAGAGUUCCAAAUAUCCACUUGCAGACAUUACAAAGACAGUGUCUCCAAACUCCUCCAUCAAAAGAAAGGUUAUACUCUGUGAAUUGAACGCACACAUCACAAAGCAGUUUCUGAGAAUGAUUCUGUCUAGUUUUUAUACGAAGAUAUUUCCUUUUCUACAUUUGGCCUAAAAGCGCUUGAAAUCUGCACCUGCAAAUGUCACAAAAAGAGGGUUUCACAUCUGCUCUGUCGAAAGGACAGUUCACCUCUGUGAGUUGAAUAGAGGCAACACUAAGAAGUUACUGAGUAUUCUUCUUUCUAGCGUUAUAUGAAGAAAUCCCGUUUCCAACGAAGGCCUGAAAGAGGUCCAAAUAUCUGCUUGAACACUUUACAGACAGAGUGUUUCCAAACUACUCUAUAAAAAGAAAGCUUAAACUCCGUGAGUUGAACGCACACAUCACAAUGUAGUUU